UUGGACUCUGCUGUGUUAUCCAUGGCUGGUCUAAAAUGCAUGAGUGUACCCUGCUGUUGCAGCGUCUUCAGUGUGAUAAGCAUCCUCACUGGACAAAGUUCCCUUUAGGACACGCAUGCAAGUGGGCUCUGCGCUUCUAACAGUCCCGCUUUUGGGACAGCUUUGACAACUUGACCUCAGAUCGGGUGGGACUACCCGCUGAACUUAAGCAUAUCAAUAAGCGGAGGAAAAGAAACUAACAAGGAUUCCCCUAGUAACGGCGAGUGAAGAGGGAAAAGCUCAAAUUUUGAAUCUGGUGUCUUUGGCGCCCGAGUUGUAAUCUAGAGAAGUGUUUUCUGCCUCGGACCACACAUAAAUUCCCUGGAAUGGGGUUUCAUAGAGGGUGAGAAUCCCGUUUGUGGUGUGGACUACCUUGGCUCUGUGAUACACUCUCAACGAGUCGAGUUGUUUGGGAAUGCAGCUCAAAAUGGGUGGUAAAUUCCAUCUAAAGCUAAAUAUUGGCGAGAGACCGAUAGCGAACAAGUACCGUGAGGGAAAGAUGAAAAGCACUUUGGAAAGAGAGUGAAACAGUACGUGAAAUUGUUGAAAGGGAAGCGUUUGAAGUCAGUCACAUCUGUCGGGACUCAGCCUGGCUUUGCCUGGUGUACUUCCUGGUGGAUGGGUCAGUGUCAGUUUUGACCGGGAGAAAAAGGCUU
rnacentral:rRNA from 1 species